CAUAAAAGGUCACUUUUUUUGCUCGGAACAAACCAUUAAUCAAUAGAGUGUAAUUGUCCGAGCGCUUGCAAGGGCUCUGCAGCGGAGGGACCUUGUUUUUCACUCGCAUAAUUGCAAAACAGCAAAAGUUCAGGAACAUAACCCAAAUCCACCUCCCCAUUUUACCCCUUUACAAUUCCCACUGCCCUUUGGGCCUCUUCUUGGAAGCAAAUGGAAGACAAGCUGAAGUUUGGCAAUUGAGCCGGAGCUAAGAAACCUUUGAUAUGCUAAUACCCUCCUUCAAACGGCACCCCCCACCCCGCACGGGCUGGGAGCAGGGCGCUCGGCAGAGUUACACAAAUAAACCCGCAACAGAACUGAGACAAAACAACAGAUUCUCUGCAGGAUGAUAGCAAUGACUACCAAAAGAUUCAAAUCAGGAUGGACACUGGACAGCACAGAGAGGAAGGGGCUCUCCAAAUGGCAAACCUAUCCCAAAGAACUUUGGUAGCACUACCUCCUUCUGAAAUUACAAAACUUUUACUUUUCAGUCUUGGUGGUGUUGAAUGUCAUGAGAAAGGGGGAAGGACCAAACCCCACAGAAAUCUCCACCACCACCAUUUCAGUGUGUGAUGCAAGAGCAGAUCUAUGGGGCCACUGUGCCCUGUACCUGCCUGCAAGUACAAUCCACCAGAGAGAUGAUGGAUGAAUUUAGGUCUGGCAAAAAUAAUUGGGACUAUACCCUGCCUAGGGACUUGUGUGGGAUUCAGGCCCAGCAAGGAGGUGCAGGCAGUGUGGGUGUGCCCACACUGUGGGCGGGGCAGGCUCUUGGCCCUUGCCCUUUUGUGCCAUUCCCUCAGGCUGCUGCAUCAGGGCGACCUCGGAGGAAGGCUGCACUCUUCAAAGAUGUUUUGCCACAGUUCAUCUUCCUUUUACUUUCCUUUACUGUAAUUCUGUGUGGUGUAGCUGAGCUGGUCACAGACAGAUAAAAUGAGACAUGUUUUUUUCACUUCAGCUCAUGUCUCUUCUUCCUGUGCUUCAUACAAGUAUUUUGUAGCACAUGAGGAAAAAUGUUUAUGUACUGUCUAAAUCAGUCUAAAUAAA